rnacentral:misc_RNA from 1 species
AGUGGUGGUGGUGGUGGUGGUGGGAGAAGGAAACCAUCAUGGAGAGAAAGAGAGAAUAACAGGAGAAGAGAGAGGAGGAGGAGAGCUGUAGCUGCUAAGAUUUAUACUGGUUUAAGAGCUCAAGGAAACUAUAAUCUUCCGAAGCACUGUGAUAACAAUGAAGUUCUUAAAGCUCUUUGUACUGAAGCUGGUUGGAUCGUUGAACCUGAUGGUACCACUUAUCGCAAGGGAUGCAAGCCAACCCCGAUGGAGAUUGGAGGCACUUCAACAAACAUCACGCCAAGUUCUUCACGGCAUCCAAGUCCCCCAUCAUCAUACUUUGCUAGCCCAAUUCCAUCUUAUCAGCCAAGUCCAACUUCCUCUUCUUUCCCCAGUCCAUCUCGUGCUGAUGCCAACAUGUCAUCACAUCCAUAUUCUUUUCUCCAAAAUGUCGUUCCUUCAUCCCUUCCUCCAUUACGAAUAUCAAACAGUGCCCCUGUAACUCCACCUCUUUCAUCACCAACUAGGCAUCCUAAGCAAACUUUCAAUUUAGAAACUUUGGCCAAAGAAUCAAUGUUUGCUUUAAACAUCCCUUUCUUUGCUGCUUCAGCCCCAGCAAGCCCAACUAGGGUUCAGCGUUUUACUCCUCCAACUAUACCCGAGUGUGAUGAAUCUGACUCAUCUACCAUUGAUUCAGGCCAGUGGAUCAACUUUCAAAAGUAUGCGUCAAAUGUUCCACCUUCUCCAACAUUUAAUCUUGUAAAACCUGUGCCUCAGCCGCUUCGUCCUAAUGAUAUGAUCACAGACAAGGGUAAGAGCAUAGACUUCGACUUUGAAAAUGUAUCAGUCAAGGCAUGGGAAGGUGAAAGGAUUCACGAUGUAGGAUUCGAUGAUCUGGAACUCACACUUGGAAGUGGCAAUGCUCGCAUAUGAUUGAGAUUCUCUGAUUUAGUUAGCUGAUGAAGCACUUUGCAUUCCAGUGGAUUAUUCCAGCCUCGUCUGGUGAGAUAUUGCCCAAACGUAGAGCUUGCAUGAAUCUCUGUUGCUACUUACCUUAUGUAUAACAUUCCUUCCCCCCCUUAUUUGAAAAGCCCCCUUCAAAAUUUAUACAGGUCUUAUCACAAGCAUUUCGUGUAGAUAUAUGCUUGCUUCUAUGGUCGAGAAUCAAUUUCUUCAUUGUAGACUAGAUGAAGCUUCUUCACAACUAUGAACUAUCCAUAUUUGUCUAUUAGAACUCGUUUUCUUUUCUUUCUGUUGGAACUAGCUACAGUUGAAGUCGAUGAUGUACCUUGUAGUCUCUCUGAUGUUUUUCGUGCACAUCAUGAAGACAUGAAACGCGUUACAGUUUAUACAUUGGAGAUUUU